rnacentral:rRNA from 1 species
AUUGAACGCUGGCGGCAUGCUUUACACAUGCAAGUCGAACGGUAACAGGCCUUCGGGUGCUGACGAGUGGCGAACGGGUGAGUAAUGCAUCGGAACGUGCCCAGAGGUGGGGGAUAACGCAGCGAAAGCUGUGCUAAUACCGCAUGUGAUCUGAGGAUGAAAGCGGGGGACCAGGCAGCAAUGUUUGGCCUCGCGCCUUUGGAGCGGCCGAUGUCAGAUUAGGUAGUUGGGGGGGUAAAGGCCUACCAAGCCGACGAUCUGUAGCUGGUCUGAGAGGACGACCAGCCACACUGGGACUGAGACACGGCCCAGAGUCAUACGGGAGGCAGCAGUGGGGAAUUUUGGACAAUGGGCGCAAGCCUGAUCCAGCAAUGCCGCGUGCGGGAAGAAGGCCUUCGGGUUGUAAACCGCUUUUGUACGGAACGAAAAGGCUCUGGCUAAUACCUGGGGGUGAUGACGGUACCGUAAGAAUAAGCACCGGCUAACUACGUG